GAUUAGAUACCCUGGUAGUGCACGCUGUAAACGGUGGGUACUAGGUGUGGGGUCCAUUCCACGGGUUCCGUGCCGUAGCUAACGCUUUAAGUACCCCGCCUGGGGAGUACGGCCGCAAGGCUAAAACUCAAAGGAAUUGACGGGGCCCCGCACAAGCGGCGGAGCAUGCGGAUUAAUUCGAUGCAACGCGUAGAACCUUACCUGGGUUUGACAUGGAUCGGGAGUGCUCAGAGAUGGGUGUGCCUCUUUUGGGGUCGGUUCACAGGUGGUGCAUGGCUGUCGUCAGCUCGUGUCGUGAGAUGUUGGGUUAAGUCCCGCAACGAGCGCAACCCUUGUUCACUGUUGCCAGCACGUUAUGGUGGGGACUCAGUGGAGACCGCCGGGGUCAACUCGGAGGAAGGUGGGGAUGACGUCAAGUCAUCAUGCCCCUUAUGUCCAGGGCUUCACGCAUGCUACAAUGGCUGGUACAGAGAGUGGCGAGCCUGUGAGGGUGAGCGAAUCUCGGAAAGCCGGUCUCAGUUCGGAUUGGGGUCUGCAACUCGACCUCAUGAAGUCGGAGUCGCUAGUAAUCGCAGAUCAGCAACGCUGCGGUGAAUACGUUCCCGGGGCUUGUACACAGCGCCCGUCAAGUCAUGAAAGUUGGUAACACCCGAAGCCGGUGGCCUAACCGUUGUGGGGGAGCCGUCGAAGGUGGGACUGGUGAUUAGGACUAAGUCGUAACAAGG
rnacentral:rRNA from 1 species